CGCAUAGUAUUUUUACUGUUUUAAAUAGUAGAAUGGUCCCACAUUUGGGUCCUAUACAUAUGAGAUAAACAUAGUGAAAACAUCUAAUGUUUUAACAAAUGUUCUGAUCACAUCUUGUCUUUUCUUUUUAGCUGGUAGAGUAAUGCCUCUGUUUUUUCGACUUCUCCUUCGUCAAGAAUAUUUUCUGGAUAAAGUAGUUGGGAAUCUUGAAUAUCUUCAGUUUUUGCUGCUUCUUCACUUGUAAGACUUUUCAUAGAAGUAUUCGAUUGUUGUUCAUAGAUUUUCAUUAAAUUUCUUCGGACUUCUUCUAAAUAUUGCUCAAUCAUUUCCAUCUUAUCUCCUUCAUGGACAGAGAUUCUUCUAGAAAUAUAACUGAGAUUUUUAUCUUCAACAAGUUUCUUUUGAGGAGUGGUAGAAUAUUCGAGAUUUUUUUUAUUAAUGGAUUAGAUCAAUUUUCGUCCAUGUGGUAAUUUAGUAAGGGGAUAUUUUUUGGUCUGUUUUUCUCAAAAAUUAUUAUAGAAUACCCUAUAGAGUCCGGGUAUUUGUUCUUUAGUUUAACCAAAUUCAACACCCCAUUUAUGUAUUCAUGGAAUGAAAAACUCUAUAAAGAAAUACAUCUGGUCCAUUUUAUCUAGAUUGCAGACAUGGUUUGAAUGGUAUAAAUUUGUUAAGAACGGGGAUACCUUUGUCCAUUUUUUGUAAAGAUACAUGUAUUCUUCUGGCAGAAUUUUAAUUGUAGGGCCAUGAUACGACCACCACUGAAUAAACCAAUUUAGAAUUGGAUCUUCAAAUACUUUAGAACAGACUUUUAAAAACUAAGUAUGCUUAUGUUUAAUAUUGUUGUAAUAUCAAGUCUGGGUAAAGGCCCUAAUAUAUUCCCAAUUAUCCUUUCAUCAUCAUGGCCUUUUUUGACAUGGAAGUAGUUCCUCAGUCUUCUAUUGAAAUGAGUUUUUUAAUAACAAUCUUGGAGUAUCCAUGAACAUCUGGGGUUGACUCACCCAUUUGGUGAUGUUCCAAUUCAAUACUUCUAGUGGACAAUAAUAUUGAUUCAUAGAAUGCUCUUGUCUUAUAGGAUUCACCUGCAAAAUAAAGGUUAGCUAGUAAAUGUUUUUGGAGGAGUUUCCAGGGAUCAUUUUGUUUGCAUAUUUGAGAAUUUCCCACGAGAACUAUUAGCUCUCGAUUUUUAAGUUUUUCAUAUUGUUGCCUUUCUGCAGAGUUUUCUUUAGUAACUGAAGCAAACGAAUCAGCUUGCUUUGCAGAUAUAAAAGAUUGCAGUUGCUCAUAUAAAGGAUGAUCCUUCGAAAUAUCUUCUAGAUGGAUCGAGGUGCUUAUAUGCUAAGUUUUUCCGUUCUUUGAAGAGAAUUCUGCGAUAUGCGAAAUCCUUGCAUUUAUCAGGCUCAUAUUUGUCCUUUGCAAUACUGAAAAAUUAGAUAAAGACGAAGUAUAUGAAUUAUUAUGAUGAUGAUGGGGAGUAUCUUCCCCCUAAUGAGGAGUAUUUUCCUCCGUGGCUUCUUCCUCUGCCUCGUCCUCUGUCUAUUUGUCAGGGCGGAUCUGUAGCCAUACUGCGUAGAAAAUUAGUCAUAUAAAUAAAUGUCAUACCAAUCAAUUUCAUCGCGGAUAUCUGCAAAAUUGGG
rnacentral:lncRNA from 1 species